GAGCUUUUCACUGUUACCAAACUGGACAGGUAGCAGACAGUGGUGGUUGUCUUAACAAUGCAGUGAUGCUGUGGCAGUGCAUGAUUUACACUCCUGUCUGGUUUACUACACACUGAUUGUAGAAGGAAUUUUGCAAGGUUUAAUAGAGACCCGGAAGUUGCACGAAUGUUUACUUGUGACGUCAUCAUCAUGGGAAUUCACUGGACCAAGCCCUGGUUUACUCACCUCCAUCCAGUAUUUAAGACACAGUACCACAGAUGCCAGAGUAAACACAGACUCUGACAUUACACUAUCUGGACAAGAACAUCUGCUCAAGCUUUUGAUUUCCAGGAUGAAGACUUUACGUGCAGUGCUACUUAUGAUGUGUGUUGCAUUAGUAUUUUCAAAACCAUAUCCUUUGCGCAGAAGAUUUGAUUCAUCUAGCUCAGAGGAAAGUGAUUCACGAAGAGACGAUUCACGGUCGAAUGAGAACGAGUCUAAAUCAAGCGAAUCUGAAUCUUCAGAGGAAGAUGUGAGAGUUCUGACAUCGCCUCCAGUUAGAAAAACAAAUCCACCGACCGCUGGCAUAACAAGACCAACAACCACAACAAAAGUCAUCACAGACUGCGUUUUUGUGGAUGUGAUAACUGGCGGAAGGGGUGAUAAUAAUAAUGUCAAUAUCAUAUCUUGCUGUGCUUCUGGUUAAUCCUCUUUUCCUGCAAAAAAGAAAAGAAAAAGAAAAA